rnacentral:rRNA from 1 species
GUCUGUAUGUAUGAUUUGUACAGUCUGGCCUGCCCACUGAAUUUUAAAGGGCCGCGGUAUCUAAACUGUGCUAAGGUAGCAUAAUCAAUAGUCCUUUAAUUGAGGUCUAGAAUGAAUGGUCGGACAAGAAGUAAGCUGUCUUGGUUUUAAAUAUUGAAUUUUACUUUUGAGUGAAAAGGCUCAAAUUAGCUAGUGGGACGAUAAGACCCUAUAAAGCUUGUACAUAAAUUAAUGUAAAUUAGAAUUUAUAGUUUAUUAGUGUUUACUUGACUUUUGUUUCGUUGGGGCGACGGGAAUAUAAAUAUUAACUGUUCAUAAAGAAAAAUAAUUAUAUUUAGAAAAAUAGAUCCUUAAUUUGGGAUUGUAAGAUUAGAGUUACUUUAGGGAUAACAGCGUAAUUUCUUUUGAGAGUUCAUAUCGACGAAGACAGUUGCGACCUCGAUGUUGAAUUAAGGUAUCUUUAGGGUGCAGCAGCCUUAAGAGUAGGUCUGUUCGACCUUUAAAUCCUUACAUGAUUUGAGUUCAAAUCGGCGUG